rnacentral:rRNA from 1 species
AUGGAAGCUCCGGCAAGCGAUCACCUGGCUGCCGUCAAGCACCUGCUCCGGUACAUCGCGGGUACGCUCACGCAUGGAUGCGUGUAUCGUCGUGGCGACGGCGAGAGCUUGGUCGGGUACAGCGACUCCGACCACGCUGGUGACGUGGACUCUCGAAAGAGCACCUCAGGCAUACUAUUCCUUCUCGGGAAUAGUCCCGCCAGCUGGCAAUCGGUGAGGCAGAAGGUUGUCGCUGUAUCUUCGUGCGAGGCAGAGUACAUCGCGGCAGCUACAACGGCAUGUCAGGGGAUUUGGCUUGCUCGCCUUCUCGGCGAGAUGCUGAAUCAGGACACCGCCCCUGCGCUCAUCUUCAUCGACAACAAGUCGGCGAUUUCCCUCUGUAAGAAUCCAGUGCUUCACGACCGCAGCAAACACAUCGAUCUCCGCUAUCACUUCAUACGUGACUGCGUCGUGAAAGGCUCGGUGAUCGUGGAGUUCAUCAGGGCUGGUGAACAGAAGGCGGACAUCCUGACCAAGUCACUUGGUCGUGUCCGGUUCCAGGAGCUGCGUGACAAGGUCGGGAUCAUCGACACCAAGCUCCUUCGACAAGAUUGA